rnacentral:rRNA from 1 species
GAUGAACGCUAGCGGCAGGCUUAAUACAUGCAAGUCGUGGGGCAGCAUGACUGUAGCAAUACAGUUGAUGGCGACCGGCAAACGGGUGCGGAACACGUACACAACCUUCCUUUUAGUGGAGAAUAGCCCAGGGAAACUUGGAUUAAUACUCCGUAACAUAUAGAAGUGGCAUCACUUUUAUAUUAUAGCAGCAAUGCGCUAGAAGAUGGGUGUGCGGCUGAUUAGAUAGUUGGCGGGGUAACGGCCCACCAAGUCGACGAUCAGUAACUGGUGUGAGAGCACGACAGUCACACGGGCACUGAGACACGGGCCCGACUCCUACGGGAGGCAGCAGUAAGGAAUAUUGGUCAAUGGACGCAAGUCUGAACCAGCCAUGCCGCGUGGAGGAUGAAGGUCCUCUGGAUUGUAAACUUCUUUUAUUUGGGAAGAAAUCUAUCUUUUCUUGGAUAGUUGACGGUACCAGAUGAAUAAGCACCGGCUAACUCCGUGCCAGCA